rnacentral:tRNA from 2 species
UAAUUAGCUCAGUUGGUAGAGCACUCGGCUGUUAACCGAUAGGUCGUAGGUUCGAGUCCUACAUUAG